GGAAUUGUUCGCAAUGGGCGCAAGCCUGACGACGCAACGCCGCGUGGAGGAUGAAGAUCUUCGGGUCGUGAACUCCUUUCGAUCGAGACGAAUUCCUCUGGGGUGAAUAAUCCCGGAGGUUGACGGUACCGAGAGAAGAAGCCCCGGCUACCUCCGUGCCAGCCGCCGCGGUAAUACGGGGGGGGCAAGCGUUGUUCGGAAUUACUGGGCGUAAAGGGCUCGUAGGUGGCCAACUAAGUCGGACGUGAAAUCCCUCGGCUUAACCGGGGAACUGCGUCCGAUACUGGUUGGCUUGGGUUUGGGAGAGGGAUGCGGAAUUCCAGGUGUAGCGGUGAAACGCGUAGAUAUCUGGAGGAACACCGGUGGCGAAGGCGGCAUCCUGGACCGACACUGACGCUGAGUGAGCGAAAGCCAGGGGAGCAAA
rnacentral:rRNA from 1 species